GAUGAACGCUGGCGGCGUGCCUAACACAUGCAAGUCGAGCGGAAGGACGAUAAGCUUGCGUUUUUGCUGUUAGCGGCGGGCGGGUGAGUAACGAGUGGAUCACCUACUUAUCUUUCUGGGAUAAUUACGGGAGACCGGAUACAAUACUGGAGAAUAUCUUGAACCGCAGGGUGCAAAAGAGAAUGACGGCCUUGGUGUCUGUAAUAGCUGGUUUCGGGCUGCAUUAGCUAGUUGGUAAGGUCACGGCCUACCAAGGCGACGAUGCGUAGCCGAACUGAGAGGAUGAUCGGCCACACUGGAACGGAGACACGGUCCAGACUCCUACGGGAGGCAGCAGUAGGGAAUGUUAGGCAAUGGGCGAAAGCCUGACGCAGCGACACCACGUGAGUGAUGAAGGCCUUCGGAUCGUAAAGCCCUGUUGUUGGGGAAGAACAGCUGUGGAUUGAUACGUGGCCAUAUUGACGGUACCUAAUCAAUAAGCACCGGCUAACUACGUG
rnacentral:rRNA from 1 species